rnacentral:tRNA from 3 species
AUUAAGGUGGCAGAUAAGUGCAUUAGAUUUAAGCUCUAAAUAUGAAGAUUAUUCUUUUCUUAAUA